UUCGCAAUGCCCGAAAGGGUGACGAAGCGACGCCGCGUGUGGGAAGAAGGCCUUCGGGUUGUAAACCACUGUCGGGAGUUAAGAAAUACAAGGAUAUUAAUAGUGUCUUUGUUUGACUAAGGCUCCGGAGGAAGCCACGGCUAACUCUGUGCCAGCAGCCGCGGUAAUACAGAGGCGGCAAGCGUUGUUCGGAAUUAUUGGGCGUAAAGAGCACGUAGGCGGCUAUGUAAGUCGGUUGUGAAAGCCUUCCGCUCAACGGAAGAACAGCAUCCGAUACUACAUGGCUUGAGUGCGGGAGGGGAGAGUGGAACUUCUGGUGGAGCGGUGAAAUGCGUAGAUAUCAGAAGGAACGCCGGCGGCGAAAGCGGCUCUCUGGCCCAUAACUGACGCUGAGUGUGCGAAGCUAGGGGAGCAAACGGGAUUAGAUACCCCGGUAGUCCUAGCCGUAAACGAUGGGCACUAAGUAGAGGGGUUUUA
rnacentral:rRNA from 1 species